UACGGAGGGAGCUAGCGUUGUUCGGAAUUACUGGGCGUAAAGCGCACGUAGGCGGUCUUUUAAGUCAGGGGUGAAAUCCCGGGGCUCAACCCCGGAACUGCCCUUGAAACUGGGAGACUAGAAUACUGGAGAGGUGAGCGGAAUUCCGAGUGUAGAGGUGAAAUUCGUAGAUAUUCGGAAGAACACCAGUGGCGAAGGCGACUCACUGGACAGUUAUUGACGCUGAGGUGCGAAAGCGUGGGGAGCAAACAGG
rnacentral:rRNA from 1 species